UACGGGGGGGGCAAGCGUUGUUCGGAAUUACUGGGCGUAAAGGGCUCGUAGGUGGCCAACUAAGUCAGACGUGAAAUCCCUCGGCUUAACCGGGGAACUGCGUCUGAUACUGGAUGGCUUGAGUUUGGGAGAGGGAUGCGGAAUUCCAGGUGUAGCGGUGAAAUGCGUAGAUAUCUGGAGGAACACCCGUAGCGAAGGCGGCACUCUGGGCCGGUACUGACGCUGAGGAGCGAAAGCGUGGGGAGCAAACAGG
rnacentral:rRNA from 1 species